UAAGGAAUAUUGGUCAAUGGGCGCAAGCCUGAACCAGCCAUGCCGCGUGCAGGAAGACGGCCCUAUGGGUUGUAAACUGCUUUUAUCAGGGAAUAAACCCCCGCUCGUGAGCGGGGCUGAAGGUACCUGAAGAAUAAGCAUCGGCUAACUCCGUGCCAGCAGCCGCGGUAAUACGGAGGAUGCAAGCGUUAUCCGGAUUCAUUGGGUUUAAAGGGUGCGCAGGCGGAUUGGUAAGUCAGGGGUGAAAUCCCACAGCUCAACUGUGGAACUGCCUUUGAGACUGUCAGUCUAGAGUAUAGUUGAAGUGGGCGGAAUGUGUCAUGUAGCGGUGAAAUGCUUAGAUAUGACACAGAACACCGAUCGCGAAGGCAGCUCGCUAAGCUAUAACUGACGCUCAGGCACGAAAGCGUGGGGAUCAAACAG
rnacentral:rRNA from 1 species